rnacentral:rRNA from 1 species
GGGUUGUGAGGUUAAGCGACUAAGCGUACACGGUGGAUGCCCUGGCAGUCAGAGGCGAUGAAGGACGUGCUAAUCUGCGAAAAGCGCCGGCGAGGUGAUAUGAACCUUUGACCCGGCGAUGUCCGAAUGGGGAAACCCAGUGUGAUUCGUCACACUAUCGUUAACUGAAUACAUAGGAUAACGAGGCGAACCGGGGGAACUGAAACAUCUAAGUACCCCGAGGAAAAGAAAU